rnacentral:tRNA from 1 species
GCUAUUUUAGUUUAUUUUUGAAUUUGCGAUUUGUAAUUGUGAGGAUUCGGUAGCU